UGGCAGAGCUAAACUUUAUUCCUCAUUUCAUUCUUCACAUGAAAACUGGAAGAAAAAAAGAUCAAAGACCUACACAACUGUCUAUAGAAGUUUUCUACAUGUCUUACCUAGUGCUGCCUUCAUAAGUACAUUUACAGGUAUCGUGACAGUGGCAAGUUGAGUACCAGCAAGUUACAAUGCAAACAUCUUUGUAUGUGAAGGUAAUAAUUAAAUUUCUCAACAUGAGGAUAAUUGAAAUAUGUUAUUAUUGAGAAAAAAAGAAUCUGAGAUUACAAAAUUAACAUUUUAAAUUGUUUUCCCAUGAACAUGUAUCAGACUAUAAAAAAUAAGGGUAAACGAUAUUCGUGUGA